rnacentral:lncRNA from 1 species
UAAGAUUGUGGAGGACCCGAGGAACUUACGGAGUUUGUUUGUUUUCUGUCCACUGUGACUCCAGAAGUGAUUCUGAAUGGAGAAGACGUAGGACCGGUCAGUGGUAGGAUGGACUGUGCUUGGAAGACAGGCACCUGGAGCUCUCAGUUUGGACUAGGCUGGCUGGCAGUAAGCCCCCAGGAUCCUCCUGUUCUCACACUAGGUACUAACUAGGGUUACAAAUUUGAUAUCACAUGAUGUCACAUGAAAUCAGGCCUUGAUGCACAUAGCAAGCACUUUACCAAUUGAGCCGUCUUUCCAGACUCAACAGUUUUGUUUGUUUUUAAAGAUCUAUGCACUAUUAUGUGGGUACAUCUGCACACCAGAAGACAGCAUCAGACAGCUGUGAGCUGCCGUGUGGGUGUUGGGAAUUGAACUCAGGACCUUUGGAAA